GGUUUGCUAACUCAACGGUAGAGUACUCGGCUUUUAA
rnacentral:tRNA from 1 species